UGCUUUACGGCUCAUUGGAUAUUGUUGCA
rnacentral:piRNA from 1 species